GCGGAGGAAAAGAAACCAACCGGGAUUGCCUUAGUAACGGCGAGUGAAGCGGCAAAAGCUCAAAUUUGAAAUCUGGUACCUUCGGUGCCCGAGUUGUAAUUUGGAGAGGGCAACUUUGGGGCCGUUCCUUGUCUAUGUUCCUUGGAACAGGACGUCAUAGAGGGUGAGAAUCCCGUGUGGCGAGGAGUGCGGUUCUUUGUAAAGUGCCUUCGAAGAGUCGAGUUGUUUGGGAAUGCAGCUCUAAGUGGGUGGUAAAUUCCAUCUAAAGCUAAAUAUUGGCGAGAGACCGAUAGCGAACAAGUACAGUGAUGGAAAGAUGAAAAGAACUUUGAAAAGAGAGUGAAAAAGUACGUGAAAUUGUUGAAAGGGAAGGGCAUUUGAUCAGACAUGGUGUUUUGUGCCCUCUGCUCCUUGUGGGUAGGGGAAUCUCGCAUUUCACUGGGCCAGCAUCAGUUUUGGUGGCAGGAUAAAUCCAUAGGAAUGUAGCUUGCCUCGGUAAGUAUUAUAGCCUGUGGGAAUACUGCCAGCUGGGACUGAGGACUGCGACG
rnacentral:rRNA from 1 species